rnacentral:rRNA from 1 species
GACGAACGCUGGCGGCGUGCCUAAUACAUGCAAGUUGGGCGCUGAAGGUUGGUACUUGUACCAACUGGAUGAGCAGCGAACGGGUGAGUAACGCGUGGGGAAUCUGCCUUUGAGCGGGGGACAACAUUUGGAAACGAAUGCUAAUACCGCAUAAAAACUUUAAACACAAGUUUUAAGUUUGAAAGAUGCAAUUGCAUCACUCAAAGAUGAUCCCGCGUUGUAUUAGCUAGUUGGUGAGGUAAAGGCUCACCAAGGCGAUGAUACAUAGCCGACCUGAGAGGGUGAUCGGCCACAUUGGGACUGAGACACGGCCCAAACUCCUACGGGAGGCAGCAGUAGGGAAUCUUCGGCAAUAGACGAAAGUCUGACCGAGCAACGCCGCGUGAGUGAAGAAGGGUUUCGGAUCGUAAAACUCGGUUGGUAGAGAAGAACGUUGGUGAGAGUGGAAAGCUCAUCAAGUGACGGUAACUACCCAGAAAGGGACGGCUAACUACGUG